rnacentral:rRNA from 1 species
ACGAAGGGGGCUAGCGUUGUUCGGAAUUACUGGGCGUAAAGCGCACGUAGGCGGAUUGCUAAGUCAGGGGUGAAAUCCCGGGGCUCAACCUCGGAACUGCCUUUGAUACUGACAGUCUUGAGUCCGGAAGAGGUGAGUGGAAUUCCUAGUGUAGAGGUGAAAUUCGUAGAUAUUAGGAAGAACACCAGUGGCGAAGGCGGCUCACUGGUCCGGUACUGACGCUGAGGUGCGAAAGCGUGGGGAGCAAACAG